CCAAGAAUCACUCCCUCCUGCACUCAGAGGUCAGAGAGGCUCUUUCUUUUCUUUUUUAAAUUAUUUUAGGCUGUAUUGAAUACAGCUGAUUAACGAACAAUGCUGUAAUAGUUUGAGGUGGAAAGCCAAGGGGCUCAGCCAUACAUAUACGUGUAUCCAUUCUCCCCCAAACUCCCCUGCCAUCCAGGCUGCUGUAUAACAUGGAGCAGAGUUCCCUGUGCUAUGCAGUAGGCCCUUCUUGGUUAUCUGCUUUAAGUACAGCAGUGUGUAGAUGUCUAUCCCAAACUCCCUAACUGUCCCUUUCCCCAUCCUUCUCUCUGGCAACCAUAAACAGAGAGGCUGUUUCUUGAAGAGGUAAUUCUGCCAGGCUCUGUCUCUGCAGCCCGAGCCCACCGUGAAAAGAAUCCUCAAAUCCCCCCUUUGGUUUUAGGUGUAACCUACCUUCUGUGUGAGGGUGGAGGAUGACUUUCAGAGUCCCUGGCAGGGUUCCGAAUGUUUUCUGUGCCAUGGACUUAGAGCUUCCUGUUUUAAAGUCUGGGAGGAUAUCGCUGUCGGGCAACAGGGUACUCUGGUCUCUGACUAAUAGAUGCCUAUGAUUAAAUUAUUUUAGACUCUAAUAAAAAUAUUUUUAGAGUAAAGUCCUUUGGGAAUUAUGCCGCGUGCUGAGCACACAGUUUUUGGUAAAUACUUGGACCUGCCAGGCCUUUUUCAGAAGCUUUUGCUCAGUGGGCACAUCCUGAGGAAAUUUAGGAGACUUAUCUUCAGAGUCAGAAGCUGGGAUUGAUUUCAGGAACCUCCUGGAGAGAGAGGGUCCUGAUGAGCUAUCUCACGGGCAGUGCUUUAGGGUUUUUUAUGUCCUUUCACCUCUCUUUAAAUACAAAUUUCCUGAAACACACUUGAAAUGACAGUCUUUCAGGGGAGAAGAUUUAUGAUGACACCACCCUCAGCCUCGCAUUCUCUGUUGCACCAUCCCCUGCACACAGAGCAUAGGGUGGCCAAGGUCAGGGUGAGUGGAAGGGAGAUGGGGAACCGUGAGCUGCUUGACCUCCGUAUGCUCACUGACCCCAGUAUUUCUUACCUUACAAAUGUUCUCCCAUAGCCCAAAGCAGAUUCUUAUUUCUUCCUGCUUGUGUUCUAAGUCACUUCAGUCAUGUCUGAGUCAUUAGGAGCCUGGUGGGCUACAAUCCAUAGGAUUACUAAGAGUUGGACAUGACUUAAGUGACUUAGCAUGCAUGCAUAGCUGAUUUACAAUGUUGUGUUAAUUUCUGCUAUACAGCAAGGUGAUUCCAUUAUAUAUAUCCACACACACACACAUUCUUUUUUAAAUAUUCUUUUCCAUUUUAGUUUGUCACAGGACAGUGAUAUAGUUCCCUGGGGGUAUGAAAUUUUUCUCACAGUCACUGUCUCCCCAGGCCUAGAGGUGAUGCUGAACCUCUGGUGAUUCUAGAGUACCUGCAAAAGAGGUACCACCUCCCUGGGGGAUAGUAAAGGAUGAUGUCACAUGAUCUACAGAGCAAACUAAUUGACCCACGAGGAUUUAACCCAAGUGUACAAGAGUGAAAGGGUUGUCAAUAUGGUCUCUAGUAGAUUGAAGAGGACUUCCUAAGUGCACAGUGGUAAAGAAUCCACCUGCCGAUGCAGGAGACACGAGAGACGUGGGUUUGAUCCCUGGGUUGGGAAGAUCACCUGGAGAAGGGCAUGGCAACCCACUCUUGUAUUCUUGCCUGGAAAAUUCCAUGGACAGAGGAGCCUGGCAGGCUACAGUCUAGAGGGUUGCAAGGAGACAUGACUGAGCAACUGAGCACUAUAGUAGAUAAAAAAUGGUCACAAAUUCUUUGAGAAGUAGCAAGGAACAAGGGGAGAAAUUGAAGUCUCCUCCCCACAUCUGGUCUGGUCUCAGUGACUGGUUCGAUCAGUCAAAUGAGGCAGAAGUGACCUUCUAGGAGCCCAAAGGUUUGCUCACAGGGGUCCUGCCACUUCCAGCUGAGGGGCUUGAAUGGAACACUUGCUCUUGGAGUCCUAAGCUACCAUAUGAGCCACCCUGAGGCCACCAUGCUAGAGAGGCCCCAGGUGAGUGGUCCAGGUGAGAUGGACAGACUCUAGGUGAGUGGUCCAAGUGAGACCGACAGGUUCUAAAUAUGAGGUCCAGGUGAGAGUUUCAGAUGAGUUCAGCCGUCCAGUGUCUCUGCCCAGGUGCCAGACAUGGUAGAGACCCACCAGACCUGGCCACCUUCAGCUGGUACCACCAAAUAAGCUCUGCUGAUGGCGCAUGGAGCAGAUGAAUCACCCGGCUGCUCAUACUCCUGACCUACAAAACUGAGAUGAAAUAACAUCCCUGGUAGUUUAAUUUUUUUGUUGCUCAGCCGGAGAUAACUGGAACACGAGCUUUACUUUCUAUUUCCUGUAGGCACUGCAAUCUUACUCUUGGUAGAAGAAUUUUAUGUUAUAUUAGUUAGUUGUGUCUGACUCUUUGCGAUCCCAUGGACUGUAGCCCGUGAGGCUCCUCUGUCCAUAGGAUUUCCCAGGCAAGAAUACUGGAGCGGGUUGCCAUUUCCUUCUCCAGGGGACUUUCACUAUCUAGGGAUCAAACUUGGGUCUCUUACAUUGCAGGCAGAUUCUUUACCGUCCGAGCCACUGGGAAAACCUACAUAAUAUGUACCAUCAUUAAAUCUAGGCCCACAUGGCAAGUUGAAAUUCAGCUAUUUGGACCAAGUUCUAUAUACAUUUAGAGGUGAAGAUGCUACCCCUCUGGACCACCUUCCCAUAGCCUGCCUCCUGCUGAAAGGAGAAUAAGUCCUUUCCUGAGCCCUGGAUGUUCCAGCCACCCCGAAUGUUGAGUGCUGGAUGUGCCCACUCUUUUCUGAAUGCUCC
ensembl:lncRNA